GGGGAAUAUUGCGCAAUGGGGGCAACCCUGACGCAGCCAUGCCGCGUGAAUGAAGAAGGCCUUCGGGUCGUAAAGUUCUUUCGGUAGCGAGGAAGGCACUUAGUUUAAUAAACUAGGUGAUUGACGUUAACUACAGAAGAAGCACCGGCUAACUCCGUGCCAGCAGCCGCGGUAAUACGGAGGGUGCGAGCGUUAAUCGGAAUAACUGGGCGUAAAGGGCACGCAGGCGGUGACUUAAGUGAGGUGUGAAAGCCCCGGGCUUAACCUGGGAAUUGCAUUUCAUACUGGGUCGCUAGAGUACUUUAGGGAGGGGUAGAAUUCCACGUGUAGCGGUGAAAUGCGUAGAGAUGUGGAGGAAUACCGAAGGCGAAGGCAGCCCCUUGGGAAUGUACUGACGCUCAUGUGCGAAAGCGUGGGGAGCAAACAGGAUUAGAUACCCUGGUAGUCCACGCUGUAAACGAUGUCGAUUUGGGGGUUGAGCUUUAAGUUUGGCGCCCGUAGCUAACGUGAUAAAUCGACCGCCUGGGGAGUACGGCCGCAAGGUUA
rnacentral:rRNA from 1 species